UACCUGGAAACAUUGAAAUUAAAAGAUUGUGGUAUCACAGAGGAAGGUUGUGCAGCUCUUGCCUCAGCUCUGAGAUCAAACCCCUCACACCUGAUAGAGCUGGAUCUGUCUGGAAAUAAAGUAGGAGACUUUGGAGUACAGAUGCUCUCUGCUGCACUGGAGAUCCCUUACUGUAAACUUGGAACACUCAAGUUGGUGAGUUGUGAUAUUACAGAUAACGGCUGUGUUGCACUGGUAUCAGCUCUGAGAUCAAACCCCACACACUUUAGAAACCUGGAUCUGUCUGGGAAUAAACUUGGAAAUUUAGGAAUAAAGCUACUCUCCGAUGCACUGGAGAAUC